rnacentral:rRNA from 1 species
GCAUAAUGGAUAGUUUUUUAAUUGAAAGCUGGAAUGAAGGGUUUAAACUAAAGAGAUAGUUUUGUUUGGUUACCUUGAAUUUAAAUUAAAAGUAAAAAUGCUUUUAUAAAAUUUUGGGACGAGAAGACCCUAGAAGCUUUUAAUUGAAAAAUUUUUGGUUGGGGUAACGGUUGAAGAUAAAAAUUUUUAAAGAAUUUAAAUAAAAAUAUGAAGUUACUCUAGGGAUAACAGCAUAAUUUAAUUAACAAGUUCUUAUUAAUAAUUAAGUUUGUGACCUCGAUGUUGAAUUAAUU